rnacentral:rRNA from 1 species
UACGCUGUAAACGGUGGACGCUGGAUGUGGGGCCCAUUCCACGGGUUCCGUGUCGGAGCUAACGCGUUAAGCGUCCCGCCUGGGGACUACGGCCGCAAGGUUAAAACUCAAAGAAAUUGACGGGGGCCCGCACAAGCGGCGGAGCAUGCGGUUUAAUUCGAUGCAACGCGAAGAACCUUACCUGGGCUUGACAUGUGGACGUUGGAUUCAGAGAUGGGUCUUCCCUUCGGGGCGUCUUCACAGGUGG